GAUGAACGCUGGCGGCGUGCCUAAUACAUGCAAGUCGAGCGAACGGACGAGAAGCUUGCUGCUCUGAUGUUAGCGGCGGACGGGUGAGUAACACGUGGAUAACCUACCUAUAAGACUGGGAUAACUUCGGGAAACCGGAGCUAAUACCGGAUAAUAUUUUGCACCGCAUGGUUCAAAAGUGAAAGACGGUCUUGCUGUCACUUCUCGAUGGAUCCGCGCUGCAUUAGCUAGUUGGUAAGGUAACGGCUUACCAAGGCAACGAUGCAUAGCCGACCUGAGAGGGUGAUCGGCCACACUGGAACUGAGACACGGUCCAGGCUCCUACGGGAGGCAGCAGUAGGGAAUCUUCCGCAAUGGGCGAAAGCCUGACGGAGCAACGCCGCGUGAGUGAUGAAGGUCUUCGGAUCGUAAAACUCUGUUAUUAGGGAAGAACAGAUGUGUAAGUAACUGUGCACAUAUUGACGGUACCUAAUCAGAAAGCCACGGCUAACUACGUG
rnacentral:rRNA from 1 species